GUUGUCAUAUAAAAGUUUCAUACUUUGCAUAUUUAUAUUUGGCGCGCAUUGCCAAUGGAGCGUGUAUGAGAGAUGAAUGAGUGAACGUAUGAAUGAGUUUUGGGUUAGUCACGUGAGGAUUUUGUUUACAGGUGUAUGUUGACCACGUGUUUAUUCUUUACUACUAUACUACAGCUGACCAAUAGAAGUUUACGACUGAAUUCAUUAAUAUGCAUGACUUUACUAACUCACUAUAAAUAGCAAAAAUCCCGCCAAUUCCCCAACCCCACGACUUUUACCUUCAUGGUAGACACAGUGAAGUGUAUCUUUACCUUACCUGUACAAGAUAUUUCAUAUAUUUUGUUAACUCAUAGUUCUGGAUACCUGGUUUUAUUUGAUAAUAUACAAUCCUCGAAAUAAAGAACCAGUGAAUACAUGUAGCUGAAAUCAG